GACGUAGGGGGCGAGCGUUAUCCGGAUUCACUGGGCGUAAAGGGCGCGUAGGCGGUUACGUAAGUCCGAUGUGAAAAGUCACGGCUCAACUGUGAUCGUGCAUCGGAUACUUCGUUGACUUGAGGUCGGUAGAGGCAAGUGGAACUAGCGGUGUAGCGGUGAAAUGCGCAGAUAUCGCUAGGAACGCCGGUGGCGAAGGCGACUUGCUGGGCCGUACCUGACGCUGAGGCACGAAAGCGUGGGGAGCAAACAGG
rnacentral:rRNA from 1 species